AAGUCGUAACAAGGUAACCGUAGGUGAACCUGCGGUUGGAUCAUUAACAAUGGUUUUCAAACCUUUUAUCUGUGCACCCUAUUGUUCUUGGUGGUUUCUUCUCUUUUAGAGGAAAAGACCACCAACAUUUUUAAACCAUGUAUUGUAUCGAGUCUUGAAAAUUUGUAUUAAAAUGAAAAACUUUUGACAACGGAUCUCUUGGCUCUC
rnacentral:misc_RNA from 1 species